GGUUGGUGGCUCAGUGGCAGAGCGCUUGCCUAGCAUGUGUGAGGCACUGGGUUUGAUUCUCAGCACCA
rnacentral:tRNA from 1 species